ACUCAAAGGAAUUGACGGGGGCCCGCACAAGCAGCGGAGCGUGUGGUUUAAUUCGAGGCUACACGAAGAACCUUACCUGGGUUUGACAUCACGCUAGUAAGCGGCUGAAAAGUCGCUGACCGCAAGGAGGCGUGACUGGUGCUGCAUGGCUGUCGUCAGCUCGUGCCGUGAGGUGUUAGGUUAAGUCCUGUAACGAGCGCAACCCCCAGAGCUAGUUACACGUUGUCUAGCUCGACUGCCCGUGACAAGCGGGAGGAAGGUGGGGAUGACGUCAAGUCAGCAUGGCCUGUAUAUCCAGGGCUACACACACGCUACAAUGGCCGGUACAAUGGGUCGCCAAGCCGCAAGGCGGAGCCAAUCCAGACAAAGCCGGUCUCAGUUCGGAUUGUGGGCUGCAACCCGCCCGCAUGAAGUCGGAGUUGCUAGUAACCGCGGGUCAGCCAUACCGCGGUGAAUACGUUCCCGGGCCUUGUACACACCGCCCGU
rnacentral:rRNA from 1 species